rnacentral:rRNA from 1 species
AUUGAACGCUGGCGGCAGGCUUUACACAUGCAAGUCGAGCGGAGAUGAGGUGCUUGCACCUUAUCUUAGCGGCGGACGGGUGAGUAAUGCUUAGGAAUCUGCCUAUUAGUGGGGGACAACAUUCCGAAAGGAAUGCUAAUACCGCAUACGCCCUACGGGGGAAAGCAGGGGAUCUUCGGACCUUGCGCUAAUAGAUGAGCCUAAGUCGGAUUAGCUAGUUGGUGGGGUAAAGGCCUACCAAGGCGACAAUCUGUAGCGGGUCUGAGAGGAUGAGCCGCCACACUGGGACUGAAACACGGCCCAGACUCCUGCGGGAGGCAGCAGUGGGGAAUAUUGGACAAUGGGCGGAAGCCUGAUCCAGCCAUGCCGCGUGUGUGAAGAAGGCCUUUUAGUUGUAAAGCACUUUAAGCGAGGAGGAGGCUACCUGGAUUAAUACUCUAGGAUAGUGGACGUUACUCGCAGAAUAAGCACCGGCUAACUCUGUGCCAGCAGCCGCAGUAACAC